rnacentral:rRNA from 1 species
GCAGGCUGCAACCCGCCUGCACGAAGUUGGAAUUGCUAGUAAUCGUGGAUCAGCAUGCCACGGUGAAUACGUUCCCGGGUCUUGUACACACCGCCCGUCACACCAUGGGAGUCGGUAACACCCGAAGUCAGUAGUCUAACCGCAAGGAGGACGCUGCCGAAGGUGGGAUUGACGACUGGGGUGAAGUCGUAACAAGGUAGC